UACAGAGACCUCAAGCGUUAUCCGGAUUUACUGGGCGUAAAGGGUCCGCAGGUGGUCAUGUGCGUCGAUGGUUAAAUGUUCGGGCUCAACUCGGACACCGCCGUCGAUACGGCAUGACUAGAGGCCGGAAGAGGUAAGCGGAAUUGCCGGUGUAGUAGUAAUAUGCGUUAAUAUCGGCAAGAACACCAAAUGCGAAGGCAGCUUACUGGUACGCGCCUGACACUCAGGGACGAAAGCGUGGGGAGCGAAAGGG
rnacentral:rRNA from 1 species